rnacentral:rRNA from 1 species
CCUACGGGAGGCAGCAGUGAGGAAUAUUGGUCAAUGGCCGUAAGGCUGAACCAGCCAAGUCGCGUGAAGGAAGAAGGAUCUAUGGUUUGUAAACUUCUUUUAUAGGGGAAUAAAGGUAUCCGCGUGUGGAUAUUUGCAUCUACCCUAUGUAUAUGCAUCGGCUAACUCCGUUCCAGCAGCCGCGGUAAUACGGCGGAUGCGAGCGUUAUCCGGAUUUAAUGGGUUUAAAGGGUGCGUAGGUUGUUUUUUAAGUCAGCGGUGAAAGUUUGUGGCUCAACCAUAAAAUUGCCGUUGAAACUGGAAGACUUGAGUGUGUUUGAGGUAGGCGGAAUGCGUGGUGUAGCGGUGAAAUGCAUAGAUAUCACGCAGAACUCCGAUUGCGAAGGCAGCUUACUAAGCCAUAACUGACACUGAAGCACGAAAGCGUGGGGAGCAAACAGGAUUAGAUACCCGAGUAGUC